ensembl:snoRNA
AAGGUUUCCCAGUAACCUGUUAUCAGAUUUACUGCUGACGGGUUCCAUUCCAGUGCUACAGAAAUUCCCAGAAUAAUAUAAGACUCACAAAAUGUGUCUGUCUGAUUUUAUAUUUGGGAGACAAGG